UUUAUACUUUCAUAUUUUAAAUUUCCUUCAGAAGCAAAAACUAUAAAUGGUGCUAUUUUGUGCUUGCAGAAAGAUACCGCACAGCAGUCCACACAGAAGAUUCAGUACUUCUGCGUAAUCCCCAGCCCUUCUUCCUUUCAAGCACAGAAGAGUCUUGCACAUAUAGCGAAGUUGAAACUUGAGGGUUUUGUAUCACAUGACUUGUGAACUGAAGGAGAGCUGAAGAACACGCCAGUCCAAAUUUCAGUACAUCAUACUGUGGUAAGUUCAACUUUUUGUUGUUUUAACAACUUAUUAUUUUUUUUCCACUUAGAAAUGAAAAGACAUAG
rnacentral:lncRNA from 1 species